UACGGGGGGGGCAAGCGUUGUUCGGAAUUACUGGGCGUAAAGGGCUCGUAGGCGGCCAACUAAGUCGGACGUGAAAUCCCUCGGCUUAACCGGGGAACUGCGUCUGAUACUGGAUGGCUUGAGGUUGGGAGAGGGAUGCGGAAUUCCCAGUGUAGCGGUGAAAUGCGUAGAUAUUGGGAGGAACAUCAGUAGCGAAGGCGACUUUCUGGGUCACACCUGACGCUGAGGUACGAAAGCGUGGGGAGCAAACGGG
rnacentral:rRNA from 1 species